CUACGGGGCGCUGCAGUAGGGAAUAUUGGUCAAUGGGCGAGAGCCUGAACCAGCCAUGCCGCGUGCAGGAUGACGGCCUUCUGGGUUGUAAACUGCUUUUCUACAAGAAGAAAAAGGCCUUGCGAGGCAAAUUGCCGGUAUUGUAGGAAUAAGCACCGGCUAACUCCGUGCCAGCAGCCGCGGUAAUACGGAGGGUGCAAGCGUUGUCCGGAUUUAUUGGGUUUAAAGGGUGCGUAGGCGGGUCUUUAAGUCAGUGGUGAAAGCCCAUCGCUCAACGAUGGAACUGCCAUUGAUACUGGAGGUCUUGAAUUCUGUUAAGGUAGGCGGAAUUGAUGGUGUAGCGGUGAAAUGCAUAGAUACCAUCAGGAACACCGAUUGCGAAGGCAGCUUACUGGGCAUGAAUUGACGCUGAGGCACGAAAGCGUGGGGAGCGAACAGGAUUAGAUACCCCUGUAGUC
rnacentral:rRNA from 1 species